AAUGAGAGUGGCAAACGGGUGAGUAACACGUGGAUAAUCUACCUUAGAGUGGGGGAUAGCCAUUGGAAACGAUGGGUAAUACCGCAUAAUAUUAUUUCUUGGGGACAAGAUUUAAUUAAAGAUUUAUCGCUCUAAGAUGAGUCUGCGCUCUAUCAGCUAGUUGGUAAGGUAAUGGCUUACCAAGGCUACGACGGAUAGCCGACCUGAAAGGGUGAUCGGCCACAUUGGAACUGAUACACGGUCCAAACUCC
rnacentral:rRNA from 1 species